GAUGAAGAACGCAGCGAAAUGCGAUAAGUAAUGUGAAUUGCAGAAUUCAGUGAAUCAUCAAAUCUUUGAACGCACAUUGCGCCCGCCAGUAUUCUGGCGGGCAUGCCUGUUCGAGCGUCAUUUCAACCAUCAAGCCCCCGGCUUGUGUUGGGGACCUGCGGCUGCCGCAGGCCCUGAAAAGCAGUGGCGGGCUCGCUGUCACACCGAGCGUAGUAGCAUACAUCUCGCUCUGGGCGUGCUGCGGGUUCCGGCCGUUAAACCACCUUCAUAACCCAAGGUUGACCUCGGAUCAGGUAGGAAGACCCGCUGAACUUAAGCAUAUCAAUAAGCGGAGGA
rnacentral:misc_RNA from 1 species